rnacentral:rRNA from 1 species
AUUGAACGCUGGCGGCAGGCCUAACACAUGCAAGUCGAACGAGUGGCGGACGGGUGAGUAAUGUCUGUGAAACUGCCUGAUGGAGGGGGAUAACUACUGGAAACGGUAGCUAAUACCGCAUACCAUCAGAUGUGCCCAGAUGGGUUUAGCUAGUUGGGGGGGUAACGGCUCACCACGGCGACGAUCCCUAGCUGGUCUGAGAGGAGGCCCAGCCACACUGGAAAUGAGACACGGGCCACACUCCUACGGGAGGCAGCAGUGGGGAAUAGUGCACAAUGGGCGCAAGCCUGAUGCAGCCAUGCCGCGUGUAUGAAGAAGGACGUCGGGUUGUAAAGUACUUUCAGCGGGGAGGCGUUACCCGCAGAAGAAGCACCGGCUAACUCCGUGCCAGCAGCCGCGGUAAUUC